rnacentral:rRNA from 1 species
AUGAACGCUAGCGGCAGGCUUAACACAUGCAAGUCGAGGGGUAUAGUUUUUCGGAACUAGAGACCGGCGCACGGGUGCGUAACGCGUAUGCAAUCUACCUUUUGCAGAGGGAUAGCCCAGAGAAAUUUGGAUUAAUACCUCAUAGUAUAGCGACAUCGCAUGAUGAUGCUAUUAAAGUCACAACGGCAAAAGAUGAGCAUGCGUCCCAUUAGCUAGUUGGUGUGGUAACGGCUUACCAAGGCAACGAUGGGUAGGGGUCCUGAGAGGGAGAUCCCCCACACUGGUACUGAGACACGGACCAGACUCCUACGGGAGGCAGCAGUGAGGAAUAUUGGACAAUGGGCGCAAGCCUGAUCCAGCCAUGCCGCGUGCAGGAUGACGGUCCUAUGGAUUGUAAACUGCUUUUAUACGAGAAGAAACACUCCAACGUGUUGGAGCUUGACGGUAUCGUAAGAAUAAGGAUCGGCUAACUCCGUG